AGUGAACGCUGGCGGUAGGCCUAACACAUGCAAGUUGAACGGCAGCACAGUAAUAGCUUGCUCUUACGGGUGGCGAGUGGUCGCCGGGUGAGGAAUACAUCGGAAUCUACUUUUUCGCGGGGGAUAAGGUAGGGAAACUUACGCUAACACCUCAUACGACCUACGGGUGAAAGCAGGGUGGCUUCGGACCUUGCGCGAUUGAAUGCGCCGAUGUCGGAUUAGCUAGUUGGCGGGGUAAAGGCCCACCAAGGCGACGAUCCGUAGCUGGUCUGAGAGGAUGAUCAGCCACACUGGAACUGAGACACGGUCCAGACUCCUACGGGAGGCAGCAGUGGGGAAUAUUGGACAAUGGGCGCAAGCCUGAUCCAGCCAUACCGCGUGGGUGAAGAAGGCCUUCGGGUUGUAAAGCCCUUUUGUUGGGAAAGAAAAGCAGCAGGUUAAUACCCCGCUGUUCUGACGGUACCCAAAGAAUAAGCACCGGCUAACUUCGUG
rnacentral:rRNA from 1 species